rnacentral:tRNA from 1 species
AGGGAUGUAGCUCAGUGGUAGAGCGCAUGAGACCAGGUUCAAUCCCUGGCAUCUCCA